AUGCACACGGAGAUUGAUCCCCGCUUGCCAGCACUCUAUGUGGAGGCGGAGAAGCUUGUGGCUGUUGAGGGUCCAAGCGAAGAAUUAAUCAGUCGGUUCAUCGAUCAAGAGAGUGAUCCGGUGAAGCAGCGCAGGGUUGUCUCUAUUGUUGGGUCUGGAGGUUCAGGCAAAACUACUCUUGCUAAUCAGGUGUACCAGAAAAUUAAAGGCAGAUUUUCCUGUUCUGCUUUUGUCUCUGUAUCGCGGAAGCCUAUCAUGGUUAACAUCCUGAAGGAUUUGCUAGCGGAAAUUGAGAACAAUGACAGAAAAUCUGACAAAUACCUGGCAACAAGAUCAUGCAGUGAGCGGCAUCUUAUCGAAAGGCUAAGAGCACAUCUUGAAAACAAAAGGUACCUUGUUGUCGUUGAUGACAUAUGGAGUAAAUCGGCAUGGGAACAAAUACAAUGUGCUCUUCCGAAGAAUUUCCAUGGCAGUAGAAUAAUUACGACGACACGCAUCAACAAAGUAGCUGAAUUUUGUUGCACUUCAAAUGAAGGCUUUGUUUAUCCAAUGAAACCUCUUAGCAACAAUGACUCCAAAAUAUUAUUUCUGAAAAGGACUUUCGUUGUUGCAGCUGAAUGCCCUAGUCAGCUGGAGGGGAUUAUGGAUGAUAUACUGCAUAAAUGUGAUGGUUUACCAUUGGCCAUAGUAAAUAUAGCUAGCUUGUUGGCUAGCAAACCUGUAAGCAGGGAAGAAUGGGAGAGAGUGAGAGACUCUGUUUGUUCUGCACAUGGAAAAGAAAAAGAUAAAGAGCUAGAAGUGAUAGAUAAGAUACUGUCUCUCAGCUAUUGUGAUCUAACCCAGCCUCUGAAGACAUGCUUAUUGUACCUUAGCAUGUUCCCGGAAGAUUACAUCAUUGGCAAAUAUAGGUUUGUAUGGAGAUGGAUUGCCGACGGGUUUGUUGUUCCGAAGCAUGGAUAUACUUUGGAGGAAGUAGGAGAGAGUUAUUUUAACGAGCUCAUCAACAGGAAUAUGAUUCAACAGGAAUUUAAAUUUUAUGGUGAAGCAAUUUCAUGUCGAGUCCAUGAUAUAGUACUUGACUUCAUUGUCACUCGGUCAAAUGAAGAAAAUUUUGUUUCUGUAUUAGAUGCUCAGCACAUCCCAUCUCAGUGUGACAAGAUUCGCAGGCUGUACAUCCAUAAAAAGAAUGAACAUGCAGCCGAGGUAUCACAGCAAAACAAGAAUAUGUCUCAUCUCCGUUCACUUCAUGUGUUCGGUAGAAUUACCUGGAUGCCCCCUCUUCUGGACCUACAGAUUCUUCGUGUACUAUAUUUAGAGGAUUGUAAUGGUUUGAAAGAGGACCACCUCAAAAACAUUGGAAGCUUAAUUCAUUUGAGAUAUUUGGGUCUGCGGAACACAAAUGUUAAGAACCUCCCAAUCCAAAUCAGGAAGCUAGGAUAUUUGCAAACGCUUGACCUAAGAGGAAGUGGGAUAACAGAGUUGCCAGAAUCUAUUGUUCAUCUAAAACGGCUGAGACACCUGGUUGGUCAGCGACUCAGAUUGCCGGAUGGAUUUGGCAACAUGGAAGCUCUUCAAGAGCUUUGGGAGAUCAAUGGCUCCAAGAGCUCUAUAAACUUUGGGAAGGAUCUGCAGAAUUUGAUACAGUUGAGAGUGCUUGGAAUACAUUUUGAGCAUACUUAUUGUGAUGAUGGGCAAAUCAGUACAGCUCUUUGUAAGCUUGGGGAAAACAACCUUCGCUCCCUACAUAUCAUCAACAUGGGUUGUGGUCCUCCUACGUGUUUUGCAGAUCCAUGGCGCUCUCCUCCGCGUCUCCUCCAGAAGUUUGUUUUGCAAGGUUAUAGGGAUGACAAUUUACCCUUGUUUCCGAAAUGGAUUAGUCCCUUGCUCUCUGAACUCACCUACUUAGAUUUUGGUGUUGAUCAAAUGAAUGGGAGAGACUUGCACAUGCUCGAAGGUUUGCAUGCGCUUUGCGUGCUUUGUCUGUCUGCAGAGGAAAUUCCUAAAGAAGGACUCUCGGUCAGCUGCAACGGAUUCCAAUCAUUAAGGCAUCUAUGCUUCCACAAUAUAUUUGGACCAGGAUUGGUAUUUAAAGAAGGAGCUAUGCCGAAGCUCCAAAAGCUUUUCCUUGCAUUCGAUGCAGAUGAAGCACACUCUACAUAUGGUUGUAUAGGUUUCGGCAUCCAACACCUUUUCUGUCUUAACUACAUUAAAGUCAGCAUUAACCGUACUCCUGCAAUGAAGUCUGCAAAGUAUGCUAUAGAUAAGGAAGUUAAGCUGCUCACCAGCAACCCCCAGGUUAAGUUUGUGUAG
rnacentral:rRNA from 1 species